rnacentral:misc_RNA from 1 species
UCCGUAGGUGAACCUGCGGAGGGAUCAUUACCGAGUUAGGGUCCUCACAGGCCCGACCUCCCAACCCAUUGUUUAUGAUACUCAGUGUUGCUUCGGCAGGCCUGGUCUUUGACCUGCCGGAGGGCCGUAACACGCCCCCCGGAGAGCGCCUGCCGACGGCCCCAACUUCAAAAUUCUUAACUAAACAUGUCUUUGUCUAAGUACAGUCUUUAAUAAAAGCAAAACUUUCAACAACGGAUCUCUUGGUUCUGGCAUCGAUGAAGAACGCAGCGAAAUGCGAUAAGUAAUGCGAAUUGCAGAAUUCUCGUGAGUCAUCGAAUCUUUGAACGCACAUUGCGCCCUUUGGUAUUCCGAAGGGCAUGCCUGUUCGAGCGUCAUUUUCACCCCUCAAGCCCCCGGCUUGGUGUUGGACGGUUUGGUCCCGGGACCCCCCUGGACCCCUCCCAAAGACAAUGACGGCGGGCUGUCGCACCCCCGGUACACUGAGCAUCUUCACGGAGCACGUACCGGUCUCCAGGGUCGACGGCACCCGGUCUCACACCUAUAUCUUUCAAGGUUGACCUCGGAUCAGGUAGGAAUACCCGCUGAACUUAAGCAUAUCAAUAAGCGGAGGAA